GCACACAAAAUAGCCGGCUGCCGAACAGCGCUCCGGCUCUUCAGACUAUGCACUGCGGGCGUCCCGCUACAACUAUUACGGCAUAAUACAGCACAGGAGAGAAAAGGCGGAUUGUAGUCUAACAGUAGCUGUUACAGUAAUAGUUGAGGGUAAGCCGCAGUAAUAGUUGAGGGUAAGCCGCAGUAAUAGUUGAGGGUAAGCCGCAGUAAUAGUUGUGGGUAAGCCACAGUAAUAGUUGAGGGUAACCCGCAGUAAUAGUUGCGGGUAAGCCGCAGUAAUAGUUGAGGGUAAGCCGCAGUACUGGUUGAGGGUAAACCGGCAGUGAUAGUUGUCAGUUAAGAACAGUUGUUUUCUUGUUUGCCAGUCGUAAUGGCAGAGUUGAGUAGUAGAGUUGAGUUGACAGUAGUGAAGACAGAUUGGUAGACGGAAUUGAUUGUGCCUUGAUAUGUUGUGAUUUAUUUACCACUUUUAACUGAAAUGCCAACAUGUUCUGUUCAUGAACAUUGAUUGGUAAGAGCUCAGGUACCUACUUUAGACAUCUGCUGAUUUUGUUGCCCUCAAUUUGAGACAAGGCCCUGAGGUUUUCAAUGUAGUUGAGGGCCAGAUGAUCAUUUCAUUUUGGUUGUCGUCAAGACAUUGUGCAGUUAUCAUUUUCUGUUGUUUUGCUUGGGCUUCACAAUGAGUGCUAGACUAACAUGAUCAGAUUGUACUUACUUCAUUCCCGUAGAACUAGAAGUACCAAUACUGACCACUUUAGGAGUAGAUACUAACUUGGGCACUCCAUUCCUCCAUCCCAUUUUCUGCCUAAUCUGCUCCCAACCUGAACUGAGUCACAAUGGACCACCAAAUGAAGUCGAGUAAAGGAAGGCCUCUCCAACCUACUGAGAAAGGAGCACAGUAUCAAGUGGAGGUUAAGAGGAAGACGUACAAAGGUCUGAAGUCACAUCUAGUCUCGACA